rnacentral:lncRNA from 1 species
CCUCUGAGUCCUCGUUCCGCCUGAAAGGAGACUGAGGCCCUUUAGUUUCCUUCCCGCUCAGCACAGUUCUCCUCUGCUUGUUCAGAGCCAGAGCCAAUGGAGGCGGAGACUGGGAAUCAGCAUAGUCUCCGUGCAGUGCACAGAGGCACUGUCUGGAGGUGCCGACCUUGAGAACAGAACUUUGUCCCUCUUGGGUCCCUGUAAUGCAGGGCACACCUGGGACCUAUUUGGGACUUUGCAGGGACAGCUGCCGGUACCUGACAGGCCCGGAGCCUCCGGAUCAUCUGCAGGCCCAUUUGGAUGGCCCUGUUGGGGAGAGGCAGGAGGUGCAGCUGGAGGAGGUAGAGGAAGGACAGACAGCUCGUCUGCACGGAAGGAGGCAGCGCGGAUGUUUGCAGCGACAGAUGGCAGCAUCCGGCAGAGCCCUGGAAGCCGGGUGAGGAGAGGAGGGGAGGCCGGCCAGACUCCUCUGCAGCUCUCAGGCCUCCCGCACAAGCUCAGCCUGCCUGGCACACACGUGGAGAUUCUCCCCUCCCUGUGUGGCGCUAAGGCACCUUGGUGAGCUCCUCAUGGUCCACAUGGGCUGCGAGUGUGUGGGAUGGCCUGGGGCGACUGGAGAAGUCUGUUCACCUGGCCCUUUGGGAGCCAAGUGGAGGAGGCUCCAGAUCAGCCCCAGAAACCCUGUUCGCUGUUCUCAGUGAGGGCGUCUGCCACGAGACUGGGGCCAGAGGGGCCAUGUAGGGAUGAGGAGUGGCGGUGACUGGGAGGUGAGGAUGGCCAGAAAGUGCUAGUCUCCCAUCAUCCCUCUGUCUUGGUGAACUCCGCUGUAUCUUAGAAUCCUGCUUGACCCGGCUCUUCAGGAAGCUGCCCUGGCAGGCCGGGCUGAGCCUGAAGAUGCCUGGCCUGGCUCUGUGGCCUCUGUGAGCCCCGGCCCCUCCUGGCCUCAGUUCUAGCUGGAGGAAACAGGACUCCCUCCUCAUCCUGGGAAGGCGGUCUCUUCCUCUCAGCGGGACUUUGAAGAGGCCGUGAAGAACCCACAGGGCCCUGCAGCAGUGGAACCAGACACCCAGAUUCACCACCCUGGAGUCGUUCCCAGCCUAGCACAGAGCCUGGGAAACAGAUGGAGAAAGCGUAGGGUGGGAGGGCCCAACAUCCUGGGCGGCUGGGGAAAUGACAGCAGCCGGGAUCCCAGCACUUAGCAUGGGUCAGUUAACAAUGCAUCCGGCCCCACCCAGCCUGUGAGGAGCCCCUUCUGUUCCUCACGCUCACACACCUGAAACUGACUCUCUGCUGGGCUCACUUGUCCACACUGCUGCUACUACCACCGCCACAGGGCCAGGAUUAGACCCCAGACAACCUGGACCGGAAGUCCACACUCCCAUCCACGGAACUACAAAACAAAAUGAAAACCAUCUCUCCCUCUGGCAGGGAUGACGGAUAAUAGGUUUGAUGCCAUCAAGUGCUGCUGAGGUCACCUCACCACCACCACCACCACGGGGAGCCCACGUCUGAUUACCUAGGGAGCCCCAAGAGUUCGGGUCAGAGUGGAGCGAACAGCUCUUUCAUCUCAUCUGCGUUUAGGUUGCCAUGCAGGAAAGAGUCGUGCAUUGCUUUGGUUUGUAACUCAUUUAAAAGGAGAAUGGGGGCAGUGAUACAGGGACAGCAUGUGCGAGGCCCGAGUUGCAUCCUUAGCCCAUCCCCCAAACAGAUGGGGGAGUAUGUUGGGGAAAGGGAAUCAAAGAUGGACAGAAUGGAAGGCUCUCAGACAGUUGUCCCUGACCGUGACCUCCUGCAGGCUUUGUCUGGGCGAGGCCUGUUCUUUUAUUGGGCACAUAUGUAUUUUCUGGGGGCCCCUAGGUCCUCGGCUCUGUGCCGGGCUGUGUGCUCUCCCCAGGCACACCCAGGGUGUGUCCCGACAGAGGGGCUCCCCUUCUGUCCCUGUCUGGGCGCUCUGUGGUAACAAGGUCAGGGCUGCAGGGAGGAGCCAGUUCUGGCCAGAGCUCUGAUCUGUGACGGGCUGUUCCCCGGAGCAGCUGCUACAACAACAUUUACUUUGUACAGUGGCCAAGAGAGAGAGCAAGAAAAGGAAGAGAGAGAGAGAGAGAGAGAGAGAGAGAGAGAGAGAGAGAGAGAGAGACAGAGGGAGAGAGCACACAAGCCUACUCUAUUGCAAAAUGUUUCUGACAAAAUCUGGCACUCCUGGUUCUAAUCAAAAUACUGAACUUUGGAACAAAUUAACAUUCCACAGCCCUCACUGGGAAGGAGAAUUCAGCCGAGACGACUUCAGUUCACAACAACAAAAAUAGCUUCUCCCGGGGAAGACACAUUCUGCUAACAAGGUCACUUGUGUUUUGCUUCCCCUGCCAUCUGGCUGAGCGGCAACCAGGGGCUGGCACUGGUACCAGCGUCUUGUGUGGAGAGGGGCUGGGAACCGGGUGGUGCCGCUGAAGGCUUCUCAGCCUCCUGGCAAAGGGUGUAGGCGUGGAGUUACCUUCAGACAGUCCCAGAACUGGGGCAGAUGGAGCCCAGUCUCACCCAGCCGGGCUCAGCUUCGAGCUCCGAGCAGCAGGAGGUGUGACACCAGCACACAGCAACAAGCAGGUGGCCCUCGAGGUGGCCCUGGAGAUGGGCAGAGAGAACGCAGUGUCCAACUCUUUCAGUCAGAGGCUGUGCUAAGUGGCUCCUGAUUCCAGCUGAUGCUUGUCCCAGCCAACCUCCCUCUUGCAGAUCUGGAGGCCAGAAGUGUGAAAUCAAGAUGUUGUCAGGGCUCUGUUCCUUCUGAGACCUUCUGAGACCUUCUUUGCCUCCUCCCAUUUUCUGGCACACCAGUCAUAUUGGAUUAAAGGCCCAAGACUCCAUUCUGACCUCAUCUUGGCUAAUUGCAUCUCCAUGACCCUAUUUCCAAAUAAGGUCACAAUCUCAGGCUGCUCUGCUCUGAGACCACUGGCACCGUGAGCAGAUGGCAUGACUUGGCUGUCCCCUGCUCCUGCCUCCGUGCACCUGGGACCUGUGGGUGGCCUCGUUUGCAUGGAGGAAAAAGAUAAUAUCCCUAUUUAUUACAAAGACUCAGGCAUUUGAAGGACCCAACCAAUGGUGUGACAUGUGUGGGCACAUGAACUUCACCUUGGAUGCCCCAGAAGUUUCUAGAGCUGACUUCCUUUAACUAGAAGGAAUAUGACUGUGGUCUUAGAAGAAAGACAUUACCUGGAGGAAGUUGAAAGCCAGCAUGCAGAGAAGGAAGACUACGGAAGGGCUCAGGCAGCUACACAGCUCUGCAGAACAAAAUGUUCUUGUCCAGGCCAUGGGGCCACAGGCUGGGACAGAGGGGAGGAACAAUGAUGUCAUGGAAUGAGAAGGAGUUGGGAACACUAUUGGAAUGAAUGUUCCAUUGAUUACACGAGUUGCUGACAAGCAACAGCAGAAAUGGAGCUGGGUGAUCAGUCUCAAAUUCUCCCCCUGACAUUUGCAAGAAAAGUGGUGAACACAUCCCAGACACCCACUUCCUACCCCCGUUAUGUGUAUGAGACGCUGGAAGCAGCAAGGACUCGGAUUCUCCCCUUGAGCCACCAGGAGGAACACAGCCUGCAGCUGCAUCCAGACUUCUGACCUCCAGAACUGCAAGCAAAUAAAAGUAUGUGAUUUGGGGCCACCCCGUUUGUGCUCAUUCACUGCUGCCGCAGCCAGAGAAAACCAACACAGAUUUCCACGUUGAGUCUGGGUUUUCCUUUGAGGCUGUGGCUUUUCCUACUGUGAUCGUAGCUCACAGCUGCUGAGUGGGGACAAUGUGUACCAGAUGCUGAGUAGACAUCAUCUCAGUUCUCCCAGUAACCCUGUGGGCCGGGCACUGGCAUUACCCUUAUUCAGGAGAUGGAGGACUAGGCUUGCAACAGUCUGCUGUAACCAGAGGCGGUUUUGAGCCCCAGGGACACUGAGCAAUGCCUGUAGACAUUCAGAUAGUCACAACCAGGUUUGGGGUGCUCCUGGCAUCUAGUGCAGGAGAAGCCAGGGAUGAAUGACAUGUGUGUGUACACAUGUGCAUAUGGGGUGUGUAUGGGGUUGGUGUGUGGCGUGUGUGUGUGUGUCUGUGUGGUGGGGGCCAGGUUAGGGAGAACAGGGGACCUGGCCUCUGCCUCACUUUCCAUCAUGAUCUGCUCCACUGUCCCCCCAAACUGCCUACAUCAGCAAGAGAUGAGAGAGUUACCAGUGUCAUCCCCCUAAAAUUCUACUUUUUCUCACAUUGAUGUCCCCUAUUUCCUGCCCACUAUUAUUGACUGGCACCUCCUCUCUGUUCUCUUCAUGCCUCCCUCCAUCACUGCCUCAGAGCAUACUUUUCUGAUUGGAUGAGGCCCCUGCCGCCAGCUCCGGUACCGAUACAGGUCUCAGCACCAAUGUACACUGGAAAGUGGAAAGUCUGCCCCACCUGAGCAGUGGCUGAGCAGCUUGCUGUUUGCAAAGUGUCACUGCCGGAAAGAAGUGGAUGGCAAGAUGCAUCCUCUACGGGGAUCAUGACCUGACGUGGCCCUCUCGCCUGGUCACCUGGUUAGGCCAAGUCACCAGACAGUCCCUGUGUUCUCACCUGCAAAUUGGGAGUCACUUACUUGAAAUUAAGUAAGAGAUGGAGGAAUCUGUUCCUCCCUCAGAGAUGCAUGAGGUAUUGUGCCACACUGGCUCCUGGCUUCUGGUGACACUGACAUUUCUGGGAUUGUGGCUGCCUUCCUCCCAUCUCUCCCUCUCUUUGUGUGGCCUUCUCUCUCCCAUGUGUCCGAGGGUCAAAUCUCCCUCUGAUUCUCUCUUAUAAAUACUGAUGCUGUUAGGCCCUGCUGGGGUAACCCAAGAUGAUCCUGUCUCAAGAUCCUUAACUCAACUUUUGCCAUUUAAGGGAACAUUCACUCAUAGAACCCUGAAAUUAGGCAACAGAUAUCUUUGGAGGAUCAUUAUUUCAGCCUAGCACAAGGAGGUAGGUACUUUACACAUCUUUACAUUUCAUAUCAAGCCUAAGAAUAGCUAUUAGUUUUGCUGUUUCACAGAUGAGGAAAUUGAGGCUUGGAGACAUUUACUAUGGAAUUUCAGAAAGUUCAUUCCGUUUCUGAGACACCUUGCCAUUUUCAUCUAUAAAAUGAGAAUCGUGCCCUUCCUGACCUAGGCCAGAUGAAAGUAGAGAAUUUUUAUACAAAUUCUUAGCAAAGUAUUAUGCAUUACAGAGAUGCAAGGGGUUAUUUUUUGCCUUGAGUGGAUUUUCUAGAAAGUCUUCACGUGGGAGAGGAGAGAUGACUUGGCUGAGGAUUGUGAGUGAAAUGCCAAAAUAUUUCUAGAAAUCAUCAGUGUCUUAGAGUGCUGAGUCUUCAUUACAAUAGCAAGUGAAAUUCUGAUGUAGAUGCACUUUAAAACAUUCCCUGUUUGAGGAAUCAUGCCUGGAAGCCACUUCCCAAAGAGAGGCAGCAAGAAAUGCUGAAUUCUUUCAAGUUGAAAGUGGGAGAGAUGGCACAUUUUAUUCUUUAGAAUGCUCCUUCUUCGGCUCAUCCUUCUAGGCAUUCUUAACAGUGACGCCUGGUGUGUUUGCAACCCAAUAAUACCAGCUACCAAUUGCUUGCUGUGCACCAAGCUCUGUGGAUUGAAUUCUCACAAAUCAUAGUGUUUUAGUUGACUGAACUUCAUUUGAAUAAGUGGAUUUCGGGGAAUAUGUCUGCUGAGAUACUAAACCUUGAUUGCACUGCAGUGCUGGGAUGGAACCGAGGGCCUCGUGCACAAUGGACAAGUGCUUGACCACGGAGCUCCACCUCAGUCCUUUACUGAGCCUUAGACUUUAUCUUCAUGUGCUCUCUAGACAACUCCUGUGUUAACAUUUGAGGCUUGUAUAGGCCAAGCAUCCCUAAUCUGGAAAUCAAAAGUGCUCCAAAAUCCAAAACUUUCUGAGCACUGACAUGCUGCCAUAGUGGAAGUUCAGUUCCUUGUGGCUACGGAACAGAGACCCUGUGUCGUUGCUGGCUGCUCCCCGCUCCGGGCGGCUGCCCACACUCCUUGUCACACAGUUCCUUCUGCCUUCCAGCCAGCGAUGGCACAUGGGCUCCUCGUUCUCAGAAGCUCUGACUUUUCUGUUGCUGACUUUAGAAGCCUUCAAGGGUGGUCCUGCCAAUCCCU